AUUGAACGCUGGCGGCAGGCCUAACACGUGCAAGUCGAGCGGGGUUUUCGGACCUAGCGGCGGACGAGUGAGUAAUGCGUAGGAAGCUACCCGAUAGAGGGGGAUACCAGUUGGAAACGACUGUUAAUACCGCAUAAUGUCUACGGACCAAAGUGUGGGACCUUCGGGCCACAUGCUAUCGGAUGCGCCUACGUGGGAUUAGCUAGUUGGUGAGGUAAUGGCUCACCAAGGCGACGAUCCCUAGCUGGUUUGAGAGGAUGAUCAGCCACACUGGAACUGAGACACGGUCCAGACUCCUACGGGAGGCAGCAGUGGGGAAUAUUGGACAAUGGGCGCAAGCCUGAUCCAGCCAUGCCGCGUGUGUGAAGAAGGCCUUCGGGUUGUAAAGCACUUUCAGUAGGGAGGAAGCGUUGUGUGUUAAUAGUACACAGCGUUGACGUUACCUACAGAAGAAGCACCGGCUAACUCUGUGCCAGCAGCCGCCGUAAUAC
rnacentral:rRNA from 1 species